UGAGGGCAACCAAAAAAAACAAAAAAAACAAUCCAGGCUGACAACAAGUAAGAGCAGGACGCACAAAAGUACAUUUAUAGAAAGGAAGUGUCAAAAACAAAAGGAAGGGAAAGACAACAAGUAGUUUAACUGUCUAGGUGAGCGAGAGAAGAGAAAAGAAAGGAUACAAAGAGAGGAAUAAAGAGAAAGACGGGUGGAUGAAAGGACAGUUUUGGAGGGUCAAAGACACGGGUUCAACUCCGACAAAUUGCUGUGUCCUGAAAUUCCCUGUGAUUUGUGGUUGGAGCCCCAGGAGGUGGAGCCACCCUGAUGUCACCAUUCCUGAGCCCCCUCUCCGGCUAUUUAAUCGGAGAAGGAAAGGCUUGGCUGCUGUUCUCUUUGGAUUUUCUGACUCAUGUUGGUGUCCCUGUCGUAGAUCCAUCUAAGAUGUGCAGCAACCAUGCAGGCCUCGUGAGCCCCACUAGUGAUAGCUUGUGUAACAUCUAUUGUUCCUGUUGGGUGCAUUGUAUUUCAGCCUUUCACCCCAAAGCUCUAAAAUCUACUCUUUGCAUGGGAAAAAGCGCAAAUAGAAAAUAUUCAACAGUACUGUAACCUCAAAAGGAAGGUGCUUACUGCCAGCCACAUGACUAUCAUUGUCUAAUUCCACAUGAAGCCUGAAAACUAUGAGGACUGAUUGAGAUCAUUGAUGUUAAGUAGAAUAC